GACGAACGCUGGCGGCGUGCUUAACACAUGCAAGUCGAACGGAAAGGCCCUGCUUGCAGGGUACUCGAGUGGCGAACGGGUGAGUAACACGUGGGUGAUCUGCCCUGCACUUCGGGAUAAGCCUGGGAAACUGGGUCUAAUACCGGAUAGGAGCCAUUUUUAGUGUGAUGGUUGGAAAGUUUUUUCGGUGUAGGAUGAGCUCGCGGCCUAUCAGCUUGUUGGUGGGGUAAUGGCCUACCAAGGCGGCGACGGGUAGCCGGCCUGAGAGGGUGGACGGCCACAUUGGGACUGAGAUACGGCCCAGACUCCUACGGGAGGCAGCAGUGGGGAAUAUUGCACAAUGGGCGCAAGCCUGAUGCAGCGACGCCGCGUGGGGGAUGACGGCCUUCGGGUUGUAAACUCCUUUCGCUAGGGACGAAGCUUUUUGUGACGGUACCUAGAUAAUAAGCACCGGCUAACUACGUG
rnacentral:rRNA from 1 species